rnacentral:rRNA from 1 species
UACGUAGGGAGCAAGCGUUGUUCGGAUUUACUGGGCGUAAAGGGCGCGUAGGCGGCGCGGUAAGUCACUUGUGAAAUCUCUGAGCUUAACUGGGGAACUGCGUGUGAUACUGGAUGGCUUGGAUUUGGGAGAGGGAUGCGGAAUUCCAGGUGUAGCGGUGAAAUGCGUAGAUAUCUGGAGGAACACCGGUGGCGAAGGCGGCAUCCUGGACCGGUAUUGACGCUGAGGCGCGAAAGCUAGGGGAGCAAACGGG